rnacentral:rRNA from 1 species
AGUUUGACUGGGGCGGUCGCCUCCUAAAGAGUAACGGAGGCGCCCAAAGGUCCCCUCAGGUGGUAUAGAAAUCCACCGUUGAGUGUAAGGGCAUAAGGGGGCUUGACUGCGAGGCCGAUAGGCCGAGCAGGGGGGAAACCCGGGCCUAGUGACCCGGCGGUCCUGAGUGGAAGGGCCGUCGAUCAUCGGAUAAAAGUUACCCCGGGGAUAACAGGCUGAUCGCUCCCAAGAGUUCACAUCGACGGAGCGGUUUGGCACCUCGAUGUCGGCUCAUCCCAUCCUGGGGCUGGAGAAGGUCCCAAGGGUCGGGCUGUUCGCCCGUUAAAGGGGUACGUGAGCUGGGUUCAGAACGUCGUGAGACAGUUCGGUCCCUAUCCACCGCGGGCGCAGGAGGCUUGAGGGGAGCUGCCCCUAGUACGAGAGGACCGGGGUGGACGCACCUCUGGUGUCCCGGUUGUUCCACCAGGAGCAGAGCCGGGUAGCCAUGUGCGGAAGGGAUAACCGCUGAAAGCAUCUAAGCGGGAAGCCCACCCCAAGAUUAGGCCUCCCGAGGGUGGGGCAACCCACCCCCUGAAGGGCCCAGGGAGACUACCUGGUUGAUAGGCCAGAGGUGGAAGCCCAGCAAUGGGUGGAGCCUACUGGUACUAAUCGCCCGUGCGGCUUGGCUGC